rnacentral:lncRNA from 1 species
GCUGCUGUGGGACUGGCUCUCCUGUGAGGCUGGAGCUGCCAUGAGUCUGGCUCUUUUCCAGCUGCAAUGAGAGAAUGGAAGCUCCCCUGAAGGGCACCUUUGUGUCAAGUCCCCAAAGAGGACAACCUCUGCUCCCGAGUGGACAGGUACCCAGUUGGACCAAUCCAGAGCAGGCACCUUGCACUGAGGUAUGCACGUGGAGGGAGCAGUCUUCAAAUAAGAGAUGAAGAGGAGGUGGCUGAUUUUCCAAGAACCCCUCUAGAACAUGGCAAAAUGUGCUAUGCUUCCCACUUCCAGGCUGACCUGGUUCCCCUGGAAUGAGAGAGUAUCCUCCAAAGGAAACACGUGGUGGUGGUGCUGGGGAGGGGAUGCUCCCUGAACAUCCAGGCUGGAGCUUGUGAGGCUGUUGGGUCUCAGGGCACUGACACUGUGAGGUGUCACUGAGCAGCAGACUGCCCUGAAUGUAGGGGGGUAGAUGCAGAGCUGAAGCUGGGGUGGUGGUGGGGAAUAAAUGAUAACUUAAUAUUUGAGAGGUAAGUGUU